CUUGACCGAGCCGAGCAGCAGCGGCGCGGCCUCGCCCCGCUCCUGCCCGUACGUGGCCAGCAGCGCCUGCGCCUC
rfam:Micromonospora coxensis strain DSM 45161 genome assembly, chromosome: I